AACCAAAUGGACAUGGACUGCCCAAAUCUUAAAAAUAUCUAGAGUUAAUAUUUGGAGAAAAUCAUAAUUUUUGUUUUCUGGUCGUCAGCGACUCAUGAACUCGGAGACGAAACCAAAAUCGUGUCGAGCAAUCCUUCUUCUACCUCCUCACUCUUUACUCUCGUUUCGCCUCUCUAUCGCAUCUCCCUCGGGUCCGCAUCUCGCUCAGGUUUGAACUUUGAUGGGUUCUUCAAGUUCGAUUGUUUGCUUUGGCUCGGUUUGAUCGUAGUAUUCAAAGAAGAAUAAGAGAAGGAAGGUGAUUAUGAAGAAGAAGGUGGAAGAAAGAAGAGAAUGAAGUAUGGAGUUUAAUUAUAAAUUUAAGUAUUUUUUUGUAAAACAUGAAGUUUAACUCUAAAUUUAAUUAUUUUUUGUAAAACAUGAAGUUUAAGUCUAAGUAUCUUGUGUAAAACAUGAAAUUUAAGUAGAUUUAAAAUUUUAUAUAUGAAAUUAGAAUC